rnacentral:lncRNA from 1 species
GCCUAUCUAGACUUUGAUGUGGGGAAAAAAAAAAACAUGUAUCAUACGAAAGCCACUUUUUGAAGGUGUCUUACUGUCAUAAUAGCCAAAUGGAUACCCUAAAUAAUACAGCAACUAAAUAUUGAAAGGGACUACUAGGAAAAGGAAGCAACCAUGCCUAGUGGGGAGAUCACUAAUACAACUAUUUUAUUUGAUUUCCCCACCAAUCCUAUGAGGAAGACGUUUGAAUGUUGGUAUGCAGCUACCAUUAAUCUUGCAGGUCACUAAAAAGAAUUUUCUUGUGUUUGUGGCUAAUUCCUCAAUGGCAGCAGCCCAAACAGGGGACAGGAGGGAUGGCUGCCUCAGCUACUUAAGUCAAAAAUAAACACAGGACAGAAGGAUCCUGGGAGUCCUGUGGCUGUUCCAUUCUCAAUCAGCCAUGCCAUGUUGUGUGAGUCUGAGUGGGUCUGGUCUGAAAACUUAGCUGCACACAA